rnacentral:rRNA from 1 species
GACGAACGCUGGCGGCGUGCUUAACACAUGCAAGUCGAACGGAAAGGCCUGCUUUCCCUUGUGGAUUGCGGGUACUCGAGUGGCGAACGGGUGGGUAACACGUGAGUGAUCUGCCCCCAACUUGGGUAUAAGCCUGGGAAACUGGGUCUAAUUCCCGAUAGGACUGCAGGGUGGUGCCUGUGGUGGAAAACGAUUUUCUAGUGGUUGGGGAUGAGCUCGCGGCCUAUCAGCUUGUUGGUGGGGUAAUGGCCUACCAAGGCGGCGACGGGUAGCCGGCCUGAGAGGGUGGACGGCCAAAGUGGGACUGAGAUACGGCCCAGACUCCUACGGGAGGCAGCAGUGGGGAAUAUUGCAAAAUGGGCGGAAGCCUGAUGCAGCGACGCAGCGUGGGGGAUGACGGCCUUCGGGUUGUAAACUCCUUUCGACCGCGAGGAAGCCACCUGGUUGGAAGGGUGGUGACGGUAGUGGUAGAAGAAGCACCGGCUAACUACGUG